AGCAGCCGCGGUAAUUCCAGCUCCAAUAGCGUAUAUUAAAGUUGCUGCAGUUAAAAAGCUCGUAGUUGAAUUUCGGGACUAAUAUGUCGGUCGUGCCUCGGUACGUACUGGUAUUUUUGGUUUCUCCCUUCUGACGAACCUUGAUGUCAUUAAUUUGGUGUCUUGGGGAAUCAGGACUGUUACUUUGAAAAAAUUAGAGUGUUUAAAGCAGGCUCACGCUUGAAUACAUUAGCAUGGAAUAAUGAAAUAGGACGUUUGAUUCUAUUUUGUUGGUUUCUAGGAUCGACGUAAUGAUUAAUAGGGAUAGUUGGGGGCAUUAGUAUUCAAUUGUCAGAGGUGAAAUUCUUGGAUUUAUUGAAGACUAACUACUGCGAAAGCAUUUGCCAAGGAUGUUUUCAUUAAUCAAGAACGAAAGUUAGGGGAUCGAAGACGAUCAGAUACCGUCGUAGUCUUAACCAUAAACUAUGCCGACUAGGGAUCGGAUGAUGUUAAUUUUUUAAUGACUCA
rnacentral:rRNA from 1 species